GACGAACGCUGGCGGCGUGCCUAAUACAUGCAAGUCGAACGCUUCUUUCCUCCCGAGUGCUUGCACUCAAUUGGAAAGAGGAGUGGCGGACGGGUGAGUAACACGUGGGUAACCUACCCAUCAGAGGGGGAUAACACUUGGAAACAGGUGCUAAUACCGCAUAACAGUUUAUGCCGCAUGGCAUAAGAGUGAAAGGCGCUUUCGGGUGUCGCUGAUGGAUGGACCCGCGGUGCAUUAGCUAGUUGGUAAGGUAACGGCUUACCAAGGCAACGAUGCAUAGCCGACCUGAGAGGGUGAUCGGCCACACUGGAACUGAGACACGGUCCAGACUCCUACGGGAGGCAGCAGUAGGGAAUCUUCCGCAAUGGGCGAAAGCCUGACGGAGCAACGCCGCGUGAGUGAUGAAGGUCUUCGGAUCGUAAAACUCUGUUAUUAGGGAAGAACAUAUGUGUAAGUAACUGUGCACAUCUUGACGGUACCUAAUCAGAAAGCCACGGCUAACUACGUG
rnacentral:rRNA from 1 species